GUAUCGCGUGAGGGAGUGAAGCGGCAUCCUUUAAUACGGUCAUUUCGCCUACGCUCAAUGACCGCAUUAAAGAUAUAGCGGAAAGCCCGACCCGAA
rnacentral:sRNA from 1 species